rnacentral:rRNA from 1 species
CCUACGGGAGGCAGCAGUGGGGGAUAUUGGACAAUGGGGGAAACCCUGAUCCAGCGACGCCGCGUGAGUGAAGAAGUAUUUCGGUAUGUAAAGCUCUGUCAGCAGGGAAGAAAGAAAUGACGGGACCGGACCAAGAAGCCCCGGCUAACUACGUGCCAGCAGCCGCGGUAAUACGUAGGGGGCAAGCGUUAUCCGGAAUUACUGGGUGUAAAGGGAGCGUAGACGGUGCUGCAAGUCUGGAGGGAAAGGCGGGGGCCCAACCCCCGGACUGCUCUGGAAACUGUGUAACUUGAGUGCAGGAGAGGUAAGCGGCAUUCCUCGUGUAGCGGUGACUUGCGUAGAUCUUAGGAG